UAUAAGAUGCAUUUAUUAUGCCUAACUAUUGGAUUUCAGUCGUUAGUUGAUUAUAUCAUCGUGUCUUUUCAUAUGCAAUAUAUAAGAAUCUGAUGAGAUAAAUCAGGUUCUUUUUUU
rnacentral:sRNA from 1 species